rnacentral:snRNA from 1 species
AAAAGAUCUGGCUGUGGCAUCUGUCACCACAUUGAUCUUCAGGGUUGAUUUGGCUGAUCUGGCUGGCUAGGCGAGUGUCCCCUUUCUCCCUCACUGUUCCACGUGUGUCCCUCCCAAAGCUGCCCACUCAGUCUGAGAGGAUGACAUUCCACAACAUAGUUGAGCCAUUUCCCGGGUCAAGGAUAUACAAGUAGCUGAGCUCCCCUGCUAUAAUCUCCAAACAAGCUCUCAAAGUGCAUUCUUAUUUCCUUUAACCUUCACAGCCGCCCUAGGUGAGAGCGAGGCAUUAUUGCUAUUCAC